CAAGGAACCAAGAAAGAAAUCACCCUUGCAUCCUGCUCAGGAAAACAACCCUAAUCAACUCACAUGACUGAGCCAUCACAAUACUUGUGAAGAUAUGUGCUCCAAAUGCCGAGCAGCUGCACAGGGUUAAUCACUUGAAAAGUAGCCCAACAGCAGAGAAGAGAAAUGUGCUGGAGGGAAGUGCCAGGAGAGCCUGGGACUCACCUAGUUUGGUUUGCUGAUGCAGACCAAGCAACUGCUGUAAAAGAGCCGAGAUGCAAACACAGCUGCGGGGACGUGAGUGAAUCUGCCAGGAUGCCACCAACAAGCGGUGCAGACAUGCGCUUUCCUGGCACGGCCCCUCUGCAUGAAAUUUGUGAUGAAAUGAGGGAAAGGGUGGGGAUGUUUCGUAAUGUAUUUGAAAAA